AAGUCGUAACAAGGUUUCCGUAGGUGAACCUGCGGAAGGAUCAUUAAUACGCUUUUGUUUGUAACAAAACAAAACGUUUUAAACCCCAAAAUUGAAAUAGUGGAAACAUAUCUUCCGGAUGCGAAUGUUGGGGAACUGAGUAAAAUCGGUUCUUUGAAAAAGGGACUUCAAGCAAUUGACACUUCAGAGUAGAGCAGUGAGGUGAAACUCGAAAGAGUUUGGUUCUGAAAAACAUUUGUAUCCGGUUAUCAAAUCUGUUCUACAAACAAAAUAUAAAACAAUAAACCCCAUGUACAACAACUUGACUAAACAUUUUUUUGUUGUCUGCUUCGCGGCAGAUGUGCAAAGAAAAAACCUGAACUUAAGAACAACUUUCAACAACGGAUCUCUUGGUUCUG
rnacentral:misc_RNA from 1 species